UGAUCCUGGCUCAGAAGGAACGCUGGCAGCGUGCAUAACACAUGCAAGUCGAACGCGAAAGAAUCCUUCGGGAUUUGGACGAGUGGCGAACGGGUGAGGAACACGUAAGAAUCUACCUUUCGGUUGGGGAUAACUUCUGGAAACGGGAGCUAAUACCCAAUAUGCUGUGGAGUGAAAGAAUUUCGCCGAGAGACGAUCUUGCGUCUGAUUAGCUUGUUGGGGUGGUAAUGGCACACCAAGGCGACGAUCAGUAGCUGGUCUGAGAGGAUGGACAGCCACAUUGGGACUGAGACACGGCCCAGACUCCUACGGGAGGCAGCAGUGGGGAAUUUUCCGCAAUGGACGAAAGUCUGACGGAGCGACGCUGCGUGAAGGAUGAAGGCCCGUGGGUUGUAAACUUCUUUUCUCGAAGAAGAAAAAAAUGACGGUAUUCGAGGAAUAAGCAUCGGCUAACUCUGUGCCAGCAGCCGCGGUAAGACAGAGGAUGCAAGUGUUAUUCGGAAUGAUUGGGCGUAAAGAGUCUGUAGGCGGUUUAGAAAGUCUUUUGUGAAAUACUUCAGCUCAACUGAGGCUCCGCAAAAGAAACUUCUAGACUUGAGGAAAGUAGAGGUACAGGGAAUUUCCGGUGGAGCGGUGAAAUGCGUAGAUAUCGGAAGGAACACCAAUAUGGCGAAGGCACUGUACUGGGCUUUUCCUGACGCUCAGAGACGAAAGCUGAAGGAGUGAUUAGGAUUAGAUACCCUAGUAAU
rnacentral:rRNA from 1 species